GUUGCCUAACUCUGAUUCCAAGCAUGCAAGCGUCAUUGUGAGACCUCGAUCGGUUCAUCUUCAUCAGCAUGCCCGGCUGGCCCUACGUACUGGUCUUUUUUAACACGCACACACACAUGCGUUUCUAGAACUGAUAAAGAGUAAAGUCCAUCAGCUGUCCCUAAAACUUGUUCGGAUGUGUCAUCCCGGUCCUUAAACUCGCAAAAUGACCGUUUAGGUACCUAAACUUGUUCGGUUGUGUCAUCCUGGUCCCUAAACUUAAAAAUCUCCCAUAUAGGUCAUCAAACUUGUUCAGUUGUGUCAUCCCGGUCCCUAAACUUGUUUUUAAGUCUUAUCUGGGUCAAAACAGGACGAAUCUAAAAACUCUAUAUUGAAAAAUAAUUCAUAACUUUUUCAUAUGAACUCAA
rnacentral:lncRNA from 1 species